rnacentral:rRNA from 1 species
AGAGUUUGAUCCUGGCUCAGGAUGAACGCUGGCGGCGUGCUUAAUACAUGCAAGUCGAACGGAGGAUGUAGCGAUAUGUCCUCAGUGGCGAACGGGUGAGUAACGCGUUGGUGACCUGCCCCGAAGCGUGGGAUAACAGCUCGAAAGGGCUGCUAAUACCGCAUGAGGUCUUGGAGGCUAGAGGCUCUAAGACGAAAGGAGCAAUCCACUUUGGGAGGGGCCUGCGUCCCAUCAGCUAGUUGGUAAGGUAAAAGCUUACCAAGGCGAACACGGGUAGGGGGCCUGAGAGGGUGACCCCCCACACUGGCACUGAAACACGGGCCAGACACCUACGGGUGGCAGCAGUAGGGAAUAUUGCACAAUGGGCGAAAGCCUGAUGCAGCAACGCCGCGUGCGCGAAGAAGGUCUUCGGAUCGUAAAGCGCUUUUUGGGGAGAUGAGGAAGGACAGUAUCCCCAGAAUAAGGCUCGGCUAACUACGUGCCAGCAGCCGCGGUAAAACGUAGGAGCCAAGCGUUAUCCGAAUUCACUGGGCGUAAAGCGCGUGCAGGCGGUCUGGUAAGUUGGAUGUGAAAUCUCCUGGCUCAACUGGGAGAGGCCGUUCAAUACUGUCAGACUAGAGGGCGACAGAGGGAGGUAGAAUUCCCGGUGUAGUGGUGAAAUGCGUAGAUAUCGGGAGGAAUACCAGAGGCGAAGGCGACCUUCUGGGUCGUACCUGACGCUCAGACGCGAAAGCUAGGGGAGCGAACGGGAUUAGAAACCCCGGUAGUCCUAGCCGUAAACGAUGUAGACUGGGUGUUGGCGGGGUAAAAGCCGUCAGUGCCGAAGCAAACGCGAUAAGUCUACCGCCUGGGGACUACGGCCGCAAGGUUAAAACUCAAA